rnacentral:misc_RNA from 1 species
AGUCGUAACAAGGUUUCCGUAGGUGAACCUGCGGAAGGAUCAUUACCGAGUGAGGGCCCUCUGGGUCCAACCUCCCACCCGUGUUUAUUUACCUUGUUGCUUCGGCGAGCCUGCCUUUUGGCUGCCGGGGGACGUCAGUCCCCGGGUCCGUGCUCGCCGGAGACACCUUAGAACUCUGUCUGAAGAUUGUAGUCUGAGAUUAAAUAUAAAUUAUUUAAAACUUUCAACAACGGAUCUCUUGGUUCCGGCAUCGAUGAAGAACGCAGCGAAAUGCGAUACGUAAUGUGAAUUGCAGAAUUCAGUGAAUCAUCGAGUCUUUGAACGCACAUUGCGCCCUCUGGUAUUCCGGAGGGCAUGCCUGUCCGAGCGUCAUUGCUGCCCUCAAGCACGGCUUGUGUGUUGGGCCCCGUCCUCCUUCCGGGGGACGGGUCCGAAAGGCAGCGGCGGCACCGCGUCCGGUCCUCAAGCGUAUGGGGCUUUGUCACUCGCUUUGUAGGCCUGGCCGGCGCUUGCCGAUCAACCAAACUUUUUAUCAGGUUGACCUCGGAUCAGGUAGGGAUACCCGCUGAACUUAAGCAUAUCAAUAAGCGGAGGAA